UACGGGGGGAGCAAGCGUUGUUCGGAAUCACUGGGCGUAAAGGGAGUCUAGGCGGUUUGGUAAGUGGGAUGUGAAAUGCCCCGGCUCACCCGGGGACCUGCAUCCCAAACUGCUGAGCUUGAGUACAGGAGAGGGUGGGGGAAUUCCAGGUGUAGCGGUGAAAUGCGUAGAUAUCGAUAGGAACUCCGGUGGCGAAGGCGGCAUACUGGUCCACUUCUGACGCUGAGGCGCGAAAGCCAGGGGAGCAAACGGG
rnacentral:rRNA from 1 species